AAAUUUCUCUUCCCCACUGCCCGCAUAUCUGUGGCACCCAUGCCGUAGAAAUGAUGAGCUUGAGCUUCACCUCCAAAUCUAGCCUCCAUGAAUCAAACCCAGAUACCGAAGAGAUCCAAAUUCACAAACUGAACCGACAGUGAAACAAAAACACCAGAAAAUUAAAUCCACUCCCCUUAAAAUAUCAGAGCUUUAAUUAAACC
rnacentral:misc_RNA from 1 species